rnacentral:lncRNA from 1 species
GCACAGGGACCACCACUGACGGGACAGGACGCCCUUCCCACCCCUGGCUGUGUCCCUUGGGAUGGACGCUGUCCCCCAGGCACAUCAGCGGGCUCCUUUCACGUGUCUUUAAUAGAAACAGGGGGCGGGGGGUGGGGGCACACAGCCAUCCCCCCCCCUCCCCCUGGAGGAAUCGCGAAUUGCAUAGACCUUGGUGUGGGGGGACCCGCCCGCCCCCCGGGGGAGUCGCCUUUUAGAAAACAAAAAGCGUCUCUGGAAUAAAACUCUCCUGGUGCAAUAAAUACUCGCGCGUCUCGGGGCUGGCACAGCCGGGGAGCCCGCUUGCCCCUUUGCCUGCCCGCUUGCCCCUUUGCCUGCCCACUUGCCCACUCCCUGGGACGGGGCACGGGGAGGUGAGUGGGUGAUGCCCCCAGUUCCGGGUGCCCCUGGGUUGGGAUAUCCCUUGGGUUCAGAGCCACCACUUCAGGAUGACCCCCCCAGUCUGGAAUGCUCCUGGCUUGGGAUGCCCAGAUUUGGGAGCCACUGGUUCAGGAUGCCCCUAGUUUGGGAUGCCCUGGUUCAGGAUGCCCCUAGUUUGGGAUGCCCUGGUUUGGGAUGCUCCUGGUUUGGGAUGCCCUGGUUUGGGAUGCUCCUGGUCGGGAUGCUCCUGGUUCAGGAUGCCCUAGUUUGGGAUGCUCCUGGUUCGGGAUGCCCCUAGUUUGGGAUGCCCUGGUUUGGGAUGCUCCUGGUUUGGGAUGCCCCUAGUUUGGGAUGCCCCUAGUUUGGGGUGCCCUGUUUUGGGAUACCCUGGUUUGGGAUGUUCCUGGUUUGGGAUACCUGAAUACUUCCAGUUUGGGGAUGCCCUGCUUUGGGACCCCCAGGUUGGGACGUUCCCAGUUCAGGACGACCCUAGGUUGGGAUAUCCCUUGGUUUCAAAGCCACCACUUCAGGAUGACCCCCCCAGUCUGGAAUGCUCCUGGCUCGGGAUGCCCCGAUUUAGGAGCUUCUGGUUCAGGAUGCUCCCAGUUUGGGAUGCUCCCAGUUUGGGAUGCUCCCAGUUUGGGAUGCUCCCAGGUUGGGAUGCUGCUGGCUCGGGAUGCCCUGAUUUAGGAGCCUCUGGUUUGGGAUGCCCCAGUUUUGGGAUACCUGAAUACUUCCAGUUUGGGGAUGCCCUGCUUUGGGAGCCUCUUGCUGGGACACCCCCCCCCCCCCC